rnacentral:rRNA from 1 species
CAGCAGCCGCGGGAAAACGUAGGGUGCAAGCGUUAAUCGGAAUUACUGGGCGUAAAGCGUGCGCAGGCGGUCCGCUAAGACAGAUGUGAAAUCCCCGGGCUUAACCUGGGAACUGCAUUCGUGACUGGCGGGCUAGAGUAUGGCAGAGGGGGGUAGAAUUCCACGUGUAGCAGUGAGAUGCGUAGAGAUGUGGAGGAAUACCGAUGGCGAAGGCAGCCCCCUGGGCCAAUACUGACGCUCAUGCACGAAAGCGUGGGGAGCAAACAGGAUUAGAUACCCCCGUAGUCCCUGUCUCUUAUAC